AAGGAAUUAGAGUUUAUAAUUCCUAGUUGUUGAGUUAUAGGGAUUAGAGUUUAUAAUUCCUAUUUGUUGGUUACAAAAGUUUUGUAAUCAGUUGUUGUUGAGGCUCAGAGUUAUUUAGUGAAGUUGGGGUUAAAUCCUGUAGAGGCGCAGGUCGUGGUUUCUUACACCUUUUGAGCCGGGUGUUUUCCACGUAAAAAUUAUUGUGUUCUUUACUUUCUGUUUUACUGCUUCCUUGGAACACGUCAGUGGAACACGUCAGGUAACCCAUUCCAUCAAUAGGCAACAUUUAGGCAAAAAUAAGAUAAUCAGUAGGGCACGAAUUUUUAACAAGGAGGUUCACUCAAAGUAUUUCACAACACAACUCUCUCACAAAUACUCUCUACAAAAAAGGAAAACAAACACAACUACAUUUUCUCAAAUUUUGUGUUCUUCUCAAAUUGGUGUGUCCCCUCAAUUGGGGUGUUCUUCCAUGUAGCUAAUGGGCUCCUUAUAUAGGCAAGAAUUACCCCCAUUAAUGUCAUCAAUGACAUCAAAGAACCAUGCAAUUUGCAGCCAUCUUUCUUGAAAAUAUUUGUCCAUCUUUGACUAGUUCUUUGGCAGCCAAAGAAGAAUAUUUUUGCUGCCAAAGUUGAACAAAAUGGGGCUGGACCUUACAAAUCUCCCCCUCCAAUCCCAUACGUCAUAGGAAGGUAUCUCCGUCUUCUUAAAGAGAUUUAGUAUAAUACUAGAUCUCGCCUUUUUAUCAAGGCUAUCAAACUCCUCGUCUGUCAUUUUUUCUGAAAUUUUUUCCUUUUCUUGCAGUGUGAUAUCAGAAUCAUCCUGGACUAGGAUAGCUUUCAUUUUCUUCGGUCAAAUUUUUCAACGUAAAUCUUUGUAAUCGUCAUGGUGACUACUAAGAUAAAAUCGGGAUUAAGCUGCUCUGAUACCCAAUUUGUUAGGAUCGAAAAUCCCGAAUAGUGCGAAAUUAAACAAAGUAAUCUAUUGAAGACGCUAACAAAGACGAUAAUAACGAUAAGUUGAGAAAAAUAAAGUAGGCAUAAAUUUAACAUGGUUCGGUCAACUUAACCUACGUCCACGACCAAAAGGAGGAGCAACUUUACUAAACACCAACGGAACAAAAAAAGAGUACAAAGACACAAAAGAGAGUACAAAAUUAGAGUAAUUAAAUACUCUAAUAUCCCAAAUACCCAAUAAAAUAACCUCACAAAUAUCACUCCAAAGAAGAGGUUCACUCAAAGUAUUUCACAACACAACUCUCUCACAAAAACUCUCUACAAAGAAGAAAAACAAACACAACUACAUCUUCUCAAAUGUUGUGUUCUUCUCAAAUUGGUGUGUCCCCUCAAUUGGGGUGUUCUUCCAUGGAGCUAAUGAGCUCCUUAUAUAGGCAAGAAUUGUCCCCAUUGAUGUCAUCAAUGACAUCAAAGAACCAUGCAAUUUGCAGCCAUCUUUCUUGGAAACAUUUGUCCAUCUUUGACUAGUUCUUUGACAGCCAAAGAAGAAAAUUCUUAAUGCCAAAAUUGAACAAAAUGGGGCUGGACCUUACACCCAAGUAUCAUAUCUGCACUCGUGACAAUACAUGGAUCUCUUGUGUAUUCAUGAUCAUCCAUAUCAUUAUCUCAAAGCUAUUGCCGGUUGUUCAAGUAUCUUUAUCGUUUUGUUGUACAGAUUUACAGGCAAUUUUUCAAAAAUAUGCAAAUUCUUUUCACAACAAGUAUUAUUAUUGGUUUUUAGUAGUACCAAAACAAACAACA
rnacentral:lncRNA from 1 species